rnacentral:rRNA from 1 species
AACUUGAAUUCACUUUAGGCGGUGGANCACUUGGNUCGUGCGUCGAUGAAGAACGCAG